UUUAUGGAGAGUUUGAUCCUGGCUCAGGAUGAACGCUGGCGGCGUGCCUAAUACAUGCAAGUCGAGCGAACAGACGAGGUGCUUGCACCUCUGACGUUAGCGGCGGACGGGUGAGUAACACGUGGGUAACCUACCUAUAAGACUGGGAUAACUCCGGGAAACCGGGGCUAAUACCGGAUAACAUAUUGAACCGCAUGGUUCAAUAGUGAAAGACGGUUUUGCUGUCACUUAUAGAUGGACCCGCGCCGUAUUAGCUAGUUGGUGAGGUAACGGCUCACCAAGGCGACGAUACGUAGCCGACCUGAGAGGGUGAUCGGCCACACUGGAACUGAGACACGGUCCAGACUCCUACGGGAGGCAGCAGUAGGGAAUCUUCCGCAAUGGGCGAAAGCCUGACGGAGCAACGCCGCGUGAGUGAUGAAGGUCUUCGGAUCGUAAAGCUCUGUUAUUAGGGAAGAACAAACGUGUAAGUAACUGUGCACGUCUUGACGGUACCUAAUCAGAAAGCCACGGCUAACUACGUGCCAGCAGCCGCGGUAAUACGUAGGUGGCAAGCGUUAUCCGGAAUUAUUGGGCGUAAAGCGCGCGUAGGCGGUUUUUUAAGUCUGAUGUGAAAGCCCACGGCUCAACCGUGGAGGGUCAUUGGAAACUGGAAAACUUGAGUGCAGAAGAGGAAAGUGGAAUUCCAUGUGUAGCGGUGAAAUGCGCAGAGAUAUGGAGGAACACCAGUGGCGAAGGCGGCUUUCUGGUCUGCAACUGACGCUGAUGUGCGAAAGCGUGGGGAUCAA
rnacentral:rRNA from 1 species